rnacentral:lncRNA from 1 species
CAAUAAGAGACAGCAAGGGUGAAGGGGUUGACUUUAUUUGAUAUUUGAUUUACCUUCCUCGCCAUUUGAAUGAGUCACUGCUUGGUGUUGAUUUUCAAUUCAUCUACUUUUGGAGUACCAGAAUCUUUAAUGAUAAAAAGAAAAAGAUGGCUUCAUUUAGAAGAGUAUCUAACCUGGGAUCCACGUAACUGAUUUCUCCAUAGCCACCACUCCAUUGGAGAUCUCUGAAGGAUGGGAACAUUUCUGAAGAAGCUGACACAUGAUGAAGAAACUGGGACCCUGCAUGAGAAGUGGUGGGAAAGAUCAUGGAGGCAGUGUGGACUGCAAGGCUGAACUACACAGAUCUGUCCAUCCAGGACUGAUUCUCCAAGGAAAGCAGGAAGAGGGUAAAUGACAACAGGUGGGGAGGUGGCUCCAACCAGCUUUCCUGGCUCACCAUGUUCCUAACACGGGCUGUACUCAAGGCAAAAACAGUGACCGCAAGUUGCAAAAUCUGAAGACUCUCC